AGCGAACGCUGGCGGCAGGCUUAACACAUGCAAGUCGAGCGGGCACUUUCGGGUGUCAGCGGCGGACGGGUGAGUAACGCGUGGUAACGUGCCCUCUGGUUCGGAAUAACUCAGGGAAACUUGAGCUAAUACCGGAUACGCCCUUUUGGGGAAAGGCUUGCUGCCGGAGGAUCGGCCCGCGUCUGAUUAGCUAGUUGGUGAGGUAACGGCUCACCAAGGCGACGAUCAGUAGCUGGUCUGAGAGGAUGAUCAGCCACACUGGGACUGAGACACGGCACAGACUCCUACGGGAGGCAGCAGUGGGGAAUAUUGGACAAUGGGCGCAAGCCUGAUCCAGCCAUGCCGCGUGAGUGAUGAAGGCCUUAGGGUUGUAAAGCUCUUUUAUCCGGGACGAUAAUGACGGUACCGGAGGAAUAAGCCCCGGCUAACUUCGUG
rnacentral:rRNA from 1 species